rnacentral:tRNA from 1 species
GAGGGUAAAACUCAGUGGUAGAGUGCAUGCUUAGCAUGCAUGAGGUCCUGGGUUCAAUCCCCAGUACCUCCA